rfam:Trichoderma virens Gv29-8 TRIVIscaffold_92, whole genome shotgun sequence.
UCGUCUUUUGCCAUUGCUCGACCAGUGUGUCCUCGCCUGCUGAUCUUGAGCCGGAUGCCCAUACUUUGUAUGAGUAUAAGACAAGAACAACCACAACGUUUUUUGAGUACGAGGUCUUUAUUCUUUUGUGGAGGCUUUUCGUAAUUUAUCUGUUGUUACAUGC